UACAUGGGGUGCAAUCGUUGCUCGGAAUUAUUGGGCGUAAAGCGCGCGUAGGCGGUUACUUAAGUCGGAUGUGAAAGCCCUCGGCUUAACUGAGGAAGUGCACCCGAAACUGAGUAGCUGGAGUACGAAAGAGGGUCGCGGAAUUCCCGGUGUAGAGGUGAAAUUCGUAGAUAUCGAGAGGAACACCUGCGGCGAAGGCGGGUAGCUGGGCCGACACUGACGCUGAGGCGCGAAAGCCAGGGGAGCGAACGGG
rnacentral:rRNA from 1 species